GACGAACGCUGACGGCGUGCUUAACCCAUGCAAGUCGAAGGGGGUGGCGAACGGGUGAGUAACACGUGAGUAACCCGACCUUCUCUUUGGGAUAAGCCUGGGAAACGGGGACUACUUCUGGAUGGAUUGGGUUGGGCUCGCGGUUUAUCAGCUUGUUGGUGUGGGGAUGACUUACUAAGGCUUUGACGGGUAGCCGGCCUGAGAGGGAGGUCGGACGCACUGGUGCUGAGAUACGGCCAAGACGCGUACGGGGGGAGACAGUGGCGGAUGUUGCUAGAAGGGCGAAAGGCUGAUGCGGCGACGUCAUGUGGAGGAUGAACGCCUUCGGGUUGUAAACUCCUUUCGGCCGCGGAAUGGUAGUGUGUAAAGAAGCGCCGGCUAACUACGUGCCAGCAGCCGCGGUAAUUC
rnacentral:rRNA from 1 species